rnacentral:tRNA from 1 species
GGUAUAUAGCUCAGUUGGCAGAGUGCUUGCCUUUAAUGCAGAAGGCCCUGCAUUCAAUCCCCAGCACCA